GCAAAAAGAAAACAAAUUAAUGUUUGCAAAUAAUAAUUAUUUGUAGACCCUAGACAGUGGCAGAUUAUAAAUAACUUUUCCAAAAUGGCAACGGCUUGAGCCGCAAUUACAAAGAGAACAGAGGAGAGCACAAGCGCCGCUUGUCAGUUGCAAUCUGCUUGCAAUCAAGUGAGCACUCGAGCUAAUUGAAAGCGAAAGAAUCAAAUGAGAAACUUGUAAGGAAUCAGCGCUACUUACUAUUGCGUCGGCAGCAGAGCUUAUUGUGCCGUUUCAAGUACAUUUUAGAGCGCCUCUACAGUCCACAGGCAAUGCGUUGAUCUACUUUGCUCACUCAAGGAUGGCAAGCAAUAAUGGCGCGCGUUGCUUAUAAUGUGGGAUAAUUGCUGUUAAUUUUUAUGACAGCUUCCAGUUCAGAGACACAGUGGGCACCGCAAAACGUCUAUUCCGCGAAGGGCUUUCGGAGAUCAGCUGCAGUUCCUUUUCAAAUAAAUAUUUUUACUUACGCUAAAUCUUAAAAUACAGC